rnacentral:rRNA from 1 species
GAUGAACGCUGGCGGCGUGCCUAAUACAUGCAAGUCGAGCGAACGGACGAGAAGCUUGCUUCUCUGAUGUUAGCGGCGGACGGGUGAGUAACACGUGGAUAACCUACCUAUAAGACUGGGAUAACUUCGGGAAACCGGAGCUAAUACCGGAUGAUAUUUUGAACCGCAUGGUUCAAAAGUGAAAGACGGUCUUGCUGUCACUUAUAGAUGGAUCCGCGCUGCAUUAGCUAGUUGGUAAGGUAACGGCUUACCAAGGCAACGAUGCAUAGCCGACCUGAGAGGGUGAUCGGCCACACUGGAACUGAGACACGGUCCAGACUCCUACGGGAGGCAGCAGUAGUGAAUCUUCCGCAAUGGGCGAAAGCCUGACGGAGCAACGCCGCGUGAGUGAUGAAGGUCUUCGGAUCGUAAAACUCUGUUAUUAGGGAAGAACAUAUGUGUAAGUAACUGUGCACAUCUUGACGGUACCUAAUCAGAAAGCCACGGCUAACUACGUG